CCACACCACCCUGGACACCCCUGAGCGCAUCUUCUACUACAUGACUGGGGGGUCUUGUUUCACGUGUACCAACACAUUGAGCCCUUCAGUCAUCAUAUCUUCUCACCAGCCGAGCCAGGGAAGAGAGGGCCUGUCUUCUAGAAGUUUCCAUCUUGUUUCUUAGCCCCAACCACAAAGAGACCGGUUUCCAGUAUUCCACCCCAGGACCCCAGCUCUCCACAACCUGACCUGACAACAUGGAAGAGUGUCGAUUGGAAGGGGUGUAAGAUCCAUCAUCAACACAGCAGGGAAGAUUGGCAGUGGGCAGACAUGGACACUGGAGCUGAGAGCUCACAGCUUAAACCACAGGCAGGAAACAGAGAGCUCAGUGGGAAUGGAUCAAGGCUUUUGAAACCUUAAAGCUGGCCUUCAGUGACAUUCUUCCUCCAGCAAGGACAAACCUCUCCAAAUCUACCAGAACAUCUCUUCCGACUAGGGACCACACGUUCAAAUACUGAACCCAUGGAGGGCGUUCUCCGUCAAACCACCACAGGGAGUGCCCCUGUUGAUACUGUGUGAAUUGUUCAUCCUAUGGAAACUUUGGGGUCUCUAUCACGGCAAAUGAAAUGAUUAAAAUUUUUUCCAAAAGUCAUAAGAGGACAAGGAGGGUGGCUCAGCAGGUUGGGUGCUUGCCCUAGAAGUGUCUGCCUGGGAUCUACUGGGAUAUAUGCGUCUCUGGUAUUCGGGGCCUUUACAAACUGAGGCAUUGGAACAUCAAUGAUGAGAACACUGCUCCUCAUAAAUACGUGAUACAAAAUGGCAGAGGUAUGGCUAAGCCAUUCCAGAAAUUGAUAGAAAUUCUGUUCAAAAGUCCAAAGGUAAAAUUCACUUACUGAUUUUUAGGCAAAUUCAAGUCAACAACUCAAACAGCAGUUAAAAAAAAUUAUUACACAGCUC
rnacentral:lncRNA from 1 species